GCAAGUUUGAAGGAGGUAGGACAGGUCAGAAAGCUGGAAAAUCAGGCCAAUUUUCUACGUUACAGUCUUGUGGCAGAAUUCCUUCUUCUUCAGGAAAUCUCAGCUUUUGCUUUCAAGCCCUUCAACUGACUGGAGGAGGCCCACCCACGUUAUCAAGGUUUGGACCCACUCAGACAGGGGGUAAAACUGGAGCAAAACCACCUAUGCUGGAAAAGAGGAUUUACCCCCAACUUGGAUCUGUUGAGCAAGGUGCUUGAUACCAUUGGACAAAAACUCUGGGUCUUGGAAUAGAAGGUCCUUCCCAAAGCACUGGUAUCACAAAUGGGAUCAGCAUAUGGCUCCCAGGCUGUCUACUUUGAAGGAAGUUGACUAUACAAUUUCUUCUGUGUUUCUUCUACGUUUAUUUUAACAAAUCAACUUACGAUUACAUUUUGUGUGGUAGAACCCGAGGCCUGGCAAUCUUUCAGAUGCAGAAUGCCAAAAGAUGAAUCUGGAGGCUACCAGAAGGCUGAAGAGGUUGGCUAGAAUAAAGCCUCUGCUGGAAGGUGCUGAAAGGAAUUCUUGUCUGGAGACCCUAACAAGAGAAGGAAGAGAUCUUCGGUAAAGUGGGCUCUGAAUUCAGAGUCAAGUCUUGACUCCCUAACCAUUUGCUCUGUGAACCUUUUAAAAAAAUUUUUUAUACUCACAUUUCUUUGUUUGUGAAAUUUGUGUAACAAUAUAUCCUUAAUUUCUCCCCAAUGCCCAAACCCAAGGAUCAAAUAAAAUCACAAAAACGUUUCCAGCUCAGAAUCCUCACUUAGUGUUAGUGGAAACUGAACGAAGAUGAAAGUUUAAUGCUAUGAGGGAAUUUAAGGUAAAUUCUCCACCAGCCAAGUAAUAUCUUUAUAUUUCUUCUUGUGCUUUCUAUAUCUGGUUUUCCACCUAGGUCCCCCCAAAAAUGUGGAAAUUGCAGCAGCCUAUGUUUUUGCUGGAAAUGGGUACCAGAUACGAUUCAUUUUGAAGUGGUCUUCUUCAUUGUUUCCCCAUGAAGCUGAGGCUGGAGAGAUGAGAACAUCAAUGGCACUGCUGUCGUCUGGACAGGCCCCAGUGCAGAGUAUCAGCUUGGGGGCCAGCCAGAAGCAGGGUAGACCAGAUGUAAAAGGAAGGUACAAACAACUGGUUAGAAACACUUUGGUGGGCCAGACUUAGGGACACAGAAUCAGCAAGCAAGGGAAUGAAAAUCAGCCAGAUGUCCAAUAGCAAAGCAACCAGGAUCAGGGGUGGCUAUAAGAUGAGACAGAGGGUGUCACAGCAGAGAGAUGAAGCUCCG
rnacentral:lncRNA from 1 species